rnacentral:rRNA from 1 species
UACGGGGGGGGCAAGCGUUGUUCGGAAUUACUGGGCGUAAAGGGCUCGUAGGCGGCCAACUAAGUCGGACGUGAAAUCCCUCGGCUUAACCGGGGAACUGCGUCCGAUACUGGAUGGCUUGAGUUCGGGAGAGGGAUGCGGAAUUCCAGGUGUAGCGGUGAAAUGCGUAGAUAUUCGGAAGAACACCAGUGGCGAAGGCGGUUGCCUGGGGCUUUGCUGACGCUGAUGCGCGAAAGCGUGGGGAGCGAGUCCGG